GAUCCAGCUUCCGCUGCCAGCCCUAAAAAAUUUGAAUCACCAACAAAAGGAAAGAUCCUAAAUCACACUGAAUGCUACAGAAAAGCAAAGUUAAUAUAAUUGGUGCUGAAGGAUGCAAAAAGGGAGUUCAUUUGAGAUUUUGCUAGUUUAACAUUCACACAAUAUUCACAUCAGUCUUAUUUUCGCGUUGUGCCAUGUUUGGUUUCCAUUACUAAGGUCAGUGUUAUUUUUAUUUUACUUGUGUUCACAUAGGCAGCCUAGAUUGGCCUAUUUUGUACAGUGAAGAUUAGUUGUGAGCAGGUUUGUCACUGCAAACCUACAUGAGCUUUGUAGUAUCUUUUUAUCAAUUAAAAAU
rnacentral:misc_RNA from 1 species